ACGCUCGACACCUACGGGAGGCAGCAGUUGGGAAUAUUGGACAAUGGAGGAAACUCUGAUCCAGUGACGCCGCGUGAAGGAAGAAGGUCUUCGGAUUGUAAACUUAUUUUGUCAGGGAAGAAAAAUGACUGUACCUGAAGAAAAGCACCGGACUAACUACGUGUCAGCAGCCGCGGUAAUCUGAGGCGGGCUGGCAAGGC
rnacentral:rRNA from 1 species